UACAGAGGUCCCAAGCGUUGUUCGGAUUCACUGGGCGUAAAGGGUGCGUAGGUGGUGAGGUAAGUCGGAUGUGAAAGCUCGGAGCUCAACUCCGAAAUGGCAUUGGAAACUACCUUGCUCGAGGGUUGGAGGGGGACUGGAAUACUUGGUGUAGCAGUGAAAUGCGUAGAUAUCAAGUGGAACACCAGUGGCGAAGGCGAGUCCCUGGACAACUCCUGACACUGAGGCACGAAAGCUAGGGGAGCAAA
rnacentral:rRNA from 1 species